AAACCCAGAGCCAGGUUACAAUGCAUACCACUGGCACCUGUGUGUCACAAUGGCUAGCUUUGAGAUGUUGGGUGUUAGAUAACUCAGUUCAGUGAAACCACAUUUCUGAGGAGGUCUGCUCUACAGAUUAUUAAACCCCAAGGACUAGGACAUGCUCCUUUGCUUACCAGACUGGCCUGAACCAAAACUAUGUCAUCUUACUAUCUUCCCUUGUCUUCUUUAGGUAAAGACACUUAGUCUAAUCAGGCUACUAGGCAAUGCAGAAUCCCAUUCUGAUUUGUACUUAUGGCUUGCUAGAACUAAGAAUUACAAAUGGACUACCAAGUACAAUGGUCAACAUGGCUGGCAGCACCUGAGGUAAAAACUCUGGCGUUCAACAUCUUUAUUUAAUUUGAUCAACCUUACAUAUAUCUGAAAUGGACUCAGGACUGUUUGUAUAUACCACUAAAAUAACAACCAACAAACCAAACAAGGGGAAUGAAGAUGGAGCUCAGGAUUUGUUUGCGACUCUUCCUCCUACCAUCAAACACCGCAGUCAUAAUAAUACGGAUAAUUCCCCUUCCUGUUUAACUCAA